rnacentral:rRNA from 1 species
UGCGUAGGCGGCUUAUUAAGUCGGAUGUGAAAUCCCCGGGCUUAACUUGGGAAUUGCAUUCGAUACUGGUGAGCUAGAGUAUGGGAGAGGAUGGUAGAAUUCCAGGUGUAGCGGUGAAAUGCGUAGAGAUCUGGAGGAAUACCGAUUGCGAAGGCAGCCAUCUGGAAUAAUACUGACGCUGAGGUACGAAAGCAUGGGGAGCAAACAGGAUUAGAUACCCCAGUA